UACGUAGGGUGCAAGCGUUGUCCGGAAUUAUUGGGCGUAAAGAGCUCGUAGGCGGUUUGUCGAGUCUGCUGUGAAAACUCGGGGCUUAACUCCGGGCCUGCAGUGGGUACGGGCAGACUAGAGUGCGGUAGGGGAGACUGGAAUUCCUGGUGUAGCGGUGAAAUGCGCAGAUAUCAGGAGGAACACCGGUGGCGAAGGCGGGUCUCUGGAACGCAACUGACGCUGAGACGCGAAAGCGUGGGGAGCAAACAGG
rnacentral:rRNA from 1 species